AGAUUGUGUUGAGGGAAAUUUCUUAGCAAUCCUUUGUAUCUCUCCCAAGCUUCAUAUAAGGACUCAUUGUCGUUUGCUGAAAAUUUGUUAUCUUCUUCUUGAGUUU